AUAGAGAAGUAAAAUACAUUUUCUCUAAAAUCAACAUGCCACUCUCUCUUCCGCCCUCCUCGGUUCGCAAAUACAUUUUCAUCCGUUCUUCUUUCUCUUCCUCUUUUCAUCGCAAAUAGCCACCACCAUGGCCUCCACCGCCCUCCUCCGUUCACGUAGGUGCAAAUCGAGCCACCAAUACCUGCUUGUUCGGCCUUCAACUACCGUUAAAAAUCAUCAACUCAACAAGAUUCUUCACGCUUGCACCCUUGCGCUUCUCAUUUACGUUGAUUUGCACUUCUCAUUCCUCAAAUCUUUAUCAGCUUUUUAAGCCGAUUUCAGUUUCAAUUUAUUGAGCCAAAAACAAUUGUCACACCAGGCAUCUUGCAAAGCUUCAGUUGAAAGCAACUACUGCAAAUAUGACAAUCAAAUGCUUCAGUUGUUCACAUCAUCUUUUUACCUUGCAGCCUUGGUAGCUUCCAUGGCUGUUUCCCCUGUAACCAGAAAGCUAGGUCACAAACUAACUAUGUUAGUUGCUGGAAUUCUCUUCAUUUUUGGCACUGCCGUAAGUGCCUCUGCAGGCACCCUUGUCUUGAGAAAAGGGAUCCCUUGGUAGUCAUGGCUACUGGUAGUGGCAAGUCUUUGUGCUAUUUUGUGUUUAUUCUCGGCCAGAUGGGUUGCUUGAGUGGUUGUUUCACCUGUCAUGCCUUUUAAGCUUCUCCAACAUUUUUUUCUGUUCAAGUGAAGUUGGGUAUUAGUUAAAUUAAAGGGAUGGGAAGAUACUGUUACCAUAGUCUCAAGUGACAUGCGCCAUUGGAACGCCCCUGAGAAAGCUGACAUAUUGGUUAGUGAAUUGCUAGGUUCUUUUGGGAACAAUGAACUGUCUUUCGAGUGCCUUGAUGGAAUUUAGAGAUUUUUAAAGUCAGAUGGAAUUUCAAUACCGUCUUUGUUUUUACAUUUACUCAUCCAAAACCAGUUGUCGAUAGAGAAAACACGUUAUAAGAAGUUGCAUUUUAUGAUACCUAAUGACACCAGCUCUGCAAUGGAUUUGUUGGCUAUGGGUGGAUGUUGUCUGAUAUUGAUAUAUGGGUGGAUGUCGUCUGAUAUUGAUAUAUGGGUGGAUGUAGUUGGGAGAAAGAAAGGUAGAAUAUUUAGUCUUGAAUCUAAAUCAGCCAACAAUGCGUUCUGAUUCAGAGGUUAAUUUAGAGGUUGAUGCUUUGAGAAGUUAAGUUCAUGCUUUGAAUGAAUCGUUGCAAAAACAGGAGCAAAAAUAGUUUUGAUGAAGCAACAGUUGCAACGACAAGAAAAAGAGAUAGUCGAGACGAACAAAAUUUAACCUUUCUGAUGCAACCUUUAGGAUUUGUUGGAUCUUCUCGUCCAAGUUCAUCACCACAAUCCAACCGUGAAACUGAUGAAGGUAGUGGGGAUGAUGACAUUGGUAGUAAUCAUAUUGAGUAAUAUUUGUUUUUAUUUUGUUAAAUUGGUUGUAUCAUGUACUUGAUUAUAUAUGGUUUUUUUGUGCUUUAAUUAAUACUUAGUUAUGAUUUGCGAACAUGAUAUAAAUUUUGUUUAGAAUUAUCA